UUGGUAAACGGCUUAAUGGCUUGUAAGUAAGCAUUUCACUGUAAAGUCUACAGUUGUUGGGGCACGUGGAGUUCGAUUUGAUUUAAAAUGCAGCAUGUUCACAUGCAAAUUUCAGUAUUGCUCUAAGCAUGCCAUUCCAUGAGGGCAGCAUUUAUUUUUCAACUCGAAUCAAUGAGCCCAAUCAGUCCUCCAUGACAACAACAUCAUAAACAACAGAGUAGGGCUGGCUAAUAAGUCCUUCGUUUUGGGGUUAUGCUCAGGUAAAACUAUUUGGCUAAUCUAUACUUCCAUAUUUCGAAGUCCUAUUCUUGAAGAUCAACGGGUAUAACAUGUAUUGGAAUGACUGGAAUGCUGAUAAACUUUGGUUUUUAAUGUAAAAAUAUAAUUGAAUAGUAUUAUUAUAUUUAGUAGAAAGCGAUGGGUUCGAAGACGCCUUCAUAACCAACCCAUAAAGUCAAAUGUAACAUCCAUAUAAGGCCGGCUGUGUAAACUUUAACAUUGAUUUAUCCUGCAAUAGAUGUUGUUCAAUUGGUUACAUACAUUAUUGUAUUCUUCUAGUGUCUCUUAAAGGGAAAGUAAUCUAAAAGUAACUGAAUGUAAUCAGAUUAUGUCACUGAGUUUGGGUUACGUUACUGAUGACAAUUUUAGACAGGUAACUAGUAACUGUAACGGAUUACAUUUAGAAAGGAACCCCAGCCAACCCUGGUCACUAACAGGCCAUAUCAACGGCAAGAUAAUCUUCUUAUAAUGUUUGGGUUGUAUCACAUCCGUUGGUGAUUGGGAGUCCCAUAGGUCGGAGCACAAUUGGUCCAGCGUCGUCCGGGUUUGGCCCGGGGUAGGCCGGGUUUGGUCGGGGCAGGCCGGGUUUUGUCGGGGUAGGCUAGGUUUGGCCGGGGUAGGCCGGGUUUGGUCGGGGUUGGCCGGGUUUGGCCGGGGUAGGCCGUGGUAGGCCGGGUUUGACCAGGGUAGGCCGGGUUUGGCUGGGGUAGGCCGGGGUAGGCUAGGUUUGGCCGGGGUAGGCCGGGUUUGGUCGGGGUUGGUCGGGGUAGGCCGAUUUUGUUCGGGGUAGGCUAGGUUUGGCCGGGGUAGGCCGGGUUUGGUCGGGGUUGGCCGAGGUAGGCCGGGUUUGGCCUGGGUAGGCCGGGUUUGGCCGGGGUCGGCCGCGGUAGGCCGGGGUCGGCAGUCCUUGUAAAUAACAAUUUGUUCUUAAUUAACUGACUUGUCUAGAAAAAUAAAGGUAACAUUUAGAAAUAAAACAUUGUUUGAACAUGGAGUACAUUUUCUAAAUGCAAAUGCAAUGUGUGGAGUGAAAUAUAUUUCCAUGCUGAAGCCAAUAAUCAAACAUGUUUGUUGCAACUUCCUAUUGGAGGGUUAGUGCUUGAAACCAUGAUAAGCUCAGUUCCUGACGAUGGCUCACCUCUCAUUGGGCAGCUUCCUUUCAUUUGUUUUCACCUCUUAAUUUCCGUCCUCUUUUUUACCUCACCCUUUCCCAGUCCCCUCCCACUUUCCCAGUCCCCUCCCACUUUCCCAGUCCCCUCCCACUUUCCCAGUCCCCUCCCACUUUCCCAGUCCCCUCCCACUUUCCCAGUCCCCUCCCACUCACAAGGCAGGCAAUUCGCUUGUCCUCCUCUCUACUAGAGGCUGUUCUCACUAAUCUCACUGCAACCCCCCUUCUGGUCUCUGAUCACUACUUAGUUUCCUUUUUUGUCUCCCUCUCCUCCAACUCUAACCACUCAGCCCCUACCCAGAUUCCCUCUCUCUCCCUUCCUCUAUCCAAUCAUUUGUCCCUUCUGCUAAAUUCUUCUGUCUCCUGAUCAUGUAUCUUCGACCCGAUCCUCGACUCUCGUCCCUUUCUGCAUCCUAUGACAUUGUCCCCAUUCCUGCCGGUCGGCUUGACCCUCCCCGCCUGCUCUGUGGCUGAGUGACCCCUUGCGAGCUGACAGAACAGGGCUGCGGGCAGCAGAGGAAAAAUGGAGGAAAACUAAACUUUUGGAGGACUUAUCAUCCAAGACACUUUCCACCUGCUCCUCAUUCACUCCGCCUAUUGUGUCCACUGGUCCCACUCACACAUAACUACCCCACGCCUUGACCACGUUCUCCACUUUCUCUAGAUUAAAUUCUGUGACUAGUGAGGUCCGGCCACCCAACAACCUGCCCGCUCGACCUCAUCCCCUCCUCCCUCCCUCAUCCCCUCCUCCCUUCCUCAUCCCCUCCUCCCUUCUCCAGACCAUCUCUGGAGACCUUCUCCCCUUCCUCACUUCCCUCAUCAACUCAUCCCUGAGUCCACUCUGACAUCAAAAUGUCCAGAGUCACCCCUUCUCAAGAAACCAAUACUCAAUCCCUCGGAUGUCAAAAUCUACAGACCGGUAUCCUUCUUUUCUUUCUUUUCAAAACACUUGAGUGUGCUGUCUCUGACGAACUUUCUCGUUAUCUCUCUCAGAAUGAUCUUCUUUACCCUAACCAGUCAGGUUACAAGAUGUAUCACUCAACUGAGACUCUUCUGUGUCACGGAGGCUCUGCUCACUGCCAAAACUGUCUCUCCCCUCUGUUCUCAUCCUCCUAGAUCUAUCGGCUGCAUUCAAGACCAUCAGAUCCUCCUCUCUGCAGUCUCAGACUCUGCACACUCUUAGAAUAUGGGAUUGUAAUGAUAACAGAACUAUAUGAGUUUUUAUUUUGAAUUUCGUUGUCACACAUUGAGAUUAUUGGUUGCAUCUACGAUUCGUAAAUAUGCUAUUUAAUUUUGCACACUUGUAUCCUGUUGAGUGAAAGAUUUAACAACUUGUAAUUUGACAUUUGAAUACAUUAAAUAAGAUUUGCAAGCAUAAUCUAUUUUCAGAAUUAUUAUAAAUCAAUUUAUAAGUAUGAAUAUUUUUCUGUGGAUCAAAAAUAACCGACACUUACUGAUAUUGAAUCUACAUGCGCUCGGGGUUCUGUCACUGUCGUCACGUUACCAAGAGAGUUUUGUAAAUUUGUAGACAGAGAUUCGCAAAUAGAUAUUAUAUUUGAGCAGUUCUGGGGGCAGGACCUUUUACUCCUGACCAAUCCGUUUCCUCUGCCAAAACCACAGACAUCUAACCAUUGGCUGGAUUGUUCCUUCAAUUAAAUCUCAGGAAGUAGCUACCCACAUGAGCCAAAGAGGACGAGUUAAUUCAAACCAAAACAAGCAACUUGAAGGUUGAAGCACAUCCCCAACACCCAGACAGACACCAGAGGCAGAAUAUUCCAAGAACCUCCACAGCCAUCUGACCACCUACCUGUGAUCUCUCCACAGCCAUCUGACCACCUACCUGCGAUCUCUCCACAGCCAUCUGACCACCUACCUGCGAUCUCUCCACAGCCAUCUGACCACCUACCUGCGAUCUCUCCACAGCCAUCUGACCACCUACCUGCGAUCUCUCCACAGC